CCUACGGGGGGCUGCAGUCGAGAAUCUUCGGCAAUGGGCGCAAGCCUGACCGAGCGACGCCGCGUGCGGGAUGAAGGCCUUCGGGUUGUAAACCGCUGUCGAGGGGAAUGAAGUGCAGGUGGGUUCUCCCAUCUGUUUGACAGAUCCCUGGAGGAAGCAUGGGCUAAGUUCGUGCCAGCAGCCGCGGUAAGACGAACCAUGCAAACGACAGUCGGAUUCGCGUGCGUAAAAGCGCGUGUUGGUGGUGUGGGAAAGCCCUCAGCCCAACUGAGGAAUUGCGCUUGAUACUGCAUGACUAGAGAAUGAUAGAGGUGGGUGGAACUGAUGGUGGAGCGGUGAAAUGCGUUGAUAUCAUCAGGAACACCAGUGGCGAAGGCGACCCACUGGGUCAUUUCUGACGCUGAGGUACGAAAGCUAGGGUAGCGAACGGGAUUAGAUACCCGAGUAGUC
rnacentral:rRNA from 1 species